rnacentral:tRNA from 4 species
GCCCCCGUGGCGGAAUUGGUAGACGCGCGUGAUUCAAAAUCACGUUUCUUCGGGAGUGCCCGUUCGAGUCGGGCCGGGGGCACCA